UAGGUCCCUGUACUUAUCUGUUCCCUCCUCCUUUUCCCCUGUUUGUGUGAUGCUCUGUGUUAAACUGGUUAGUACCAAUGAUUUCAAAAGAAUUCCUUUCAACUUUCUCAACACUCUUAAACUACUUUCUCAAACUCUCUCAACUCUUUUUCUUAAACUGACUCUCAAUUGUUUUAAACUCUCUCAAUCCUAUCACAACU
rnacentral:lncRNA from 1 species